rnacentral:rRNA from 1 species
AACGAACGCUGGCGGCAUGCCUAACAAAUGCAAGUCGAACGAGACCUUCGGGUCUAGUGGCGCACGGGUGCGUAACGCGUGGGAAUCUACCCUCAGGUUCGGAAUAACUCAGAGAAAUUUGAGCUAAUACCGGAUGAUGACGUAAGUCCAAAGAUUUAUCGCCUGAGGAUGAGCCCGCGUAGGAUUAGGUAGUUGGUGAGGUAAAGGCUCACCAAGCCGACGAUCCUUAGCUGGUCUGAGAGGAUGAUCAGCCACACUGGGACUGAGACACGGCCCAGACUCCUACGGGAGGCAGCAGUGGGGAAUAUUGGACAAUGGGCGAAAGCCUGAUCCAGCAAUGCCGCGUGAGUGAUGAAGGCCUUAGGGUUGUAAAGCUCUUUUACCCGGGAUGAUAAUGACAGUACCGGGAGAAUAAGCUCCGGCUAACUCCGUG